GCACCCGUAGCUCAGUAGGAUAGAGUGCUGUUUUCCGAAAGCAGAGGGUUCAGGUUCAAUUCCUGUCGGGUGCA
rnacentral:tRNA from 1 species